UACGAGGGGAGCAAGCGUUGUUCGGAAUCAUUGGGCGUAAAGGGCGCGUAGGCGGCUGCACAAGUCCAGGGUGAAAGCCCUCGGCUCAACCGAGGAAUGGCCUUGGAAACUGUGCGGCUAGAGUAUUGGAGAGGAAAGCGGAAUUCCAAGUGUAGCGGUGAAAUGCGUAGAUAUUGGGAGGAACACCGGUGGCGAAGGCGGCUUUCUGGACAAUCACUGACGCUGAGGCGAGAAAGCUAGGGGAGCAAACGGG
rnacentral:rRNA from 1 species